rnacentral:rRNA from 1 species
GAUGAGCGCUGGCGGCGUGCCUAAUACAUGCAAGUCGAGCGAACGGACGAGAAGCUUGCUUUUCUGAUGUUAGCGGCGGACGGGUGAGUAACACGUGGAUAACCUACCUAUAAGACUGGGAUAACUUCGGGAAACCGGAGCUAAUACCGGAUAAUAUUUUGAACCGCAUGGUUCAAAAGUGAAAGACGGUCUUGCUGUCACUUAUAGAUGGAUCCGCGCUGCAUUAGCUAGUUGGUAAGGUAACGGCUUACCAAGGCAACGAUGCAUAGCCGACCUGAGAGGGUGAUCGGCCACACUGGAACUGAGACACGGUCCAGACUCCUACGGGAGGCAGCAGUAGGGAAUCUUCCGCAAUGGGCGAAAGCCUGACGGAGCAACUCCGCGUGAGUGAUGAAGGUCUUCGGAUCGUAAAACUCUGUUAUUAGGGAAGAACAUAUGUGUAAGUAACUGUGCACAUCUUGACGGUACCUAAUCAGAAAGCCACGGCUAACUACGUG